rnacentral:rRNA from 1 species
GAUGAACGCUGGCGGCGUGCCUAAUACAUGCAAGUCGAGCGAACAGACGAGGAGCUUGCUCCUUUGACGUUAGCGGCGGACGGGUGAGUAACACGUAGGUAACCUACCUAUAAGACUGGGAUAACUUCGGGAAACCGGAGCUAAUACCGGAUAAUAUUUCGAACCGCAUGGUUCGAUAGUGAAAGAUGGCUUUGCUAUCACUUAUAGAUGGACCUGCGCCGUAUUAGCUAGUUGGUAAGGUAACGGCUUACCAAGGCAACGAUACGUAGCCGACCUGAGAGGGUGAUCGGCCACACUGGAACUGAGACACGGUCCAGACUCCUACGGGAGGUAGCAGUAGGGAAUCUUCCGCAAUGGGCGAAAGCCUGACGGAGCAACGCCGCGUGAGUGAUGAAGGUCUUCGGAUCGUAAAACUCUGUUAUUAGGGAAGAACAAACGUGUAAGUAACUGUGCACGUCUUGACGGUACCUAAUCAGAAAGCCACGGCUAACUACGUG